GACGAACGCUGGCGGCGCGCUUAACACAUGCAAGUCGAACGGAAAGGCCUGCUUUCCCUUGUGGAUUGCGGGUACUCGAGUGGCGAACGGGUGAGUAACACGUGAGUUAUCUGCCCCCAACUUGGGUAUAAGCCUGGGAAACUGGGUCUAAUUCCCGAUAGGACUGCAGGGUGGUGCCUGUGGUGGAAAACGAUUUUCUAGUGGUUGGGGAUGAGCUCGCGGCCUAUCAGCUUGUUGGUGGGGUAAUGGCCUACCAAGGCGGCGACGGGUAGCCGGCCUGAGAGGGUGGGCGGUGACAUUGGGACUGAGAUACGGCCCAGACUGCUACGGGCGGCAGCAGUGGGGAAUAUUGCACAAUGGGCGGAAGCCUGAUGCAGCGACGCCGCGUGGGGGAUGACGGCCUUCGGGUUGUAAACUCCUUUCGACCGCGAGGAAGCCACCUGGUUGGAAGGGUGGUGACGGUAGUGGUAGAAGAAGCACCGGCUAACUACGUG
rnacentral:rRNA from 1 species